ACGGGCUCUUAUGGAGCCUGUCUGGUCAGUAAAGCAGAGAUUUUCUCAAAAUCAGUCUCCAGCCAAAUGCUGCCUGGAGUCAGGCUUAGGAGAAGUGAUAAAAGCUUGAUGCACACCUACAGCUGUGCCACAGAGGGCUAGUAGUGUCAAUGUGUACACAAAGCCCUCUGUAUUUCCCAGGUAAUACCAAAUAUUUAUGUGUGCCCAUGAGGGAUGAUGCUCUUCAGCGUGGCAGAUGGGAUGCCUGUUGGCUGUGCUGAUGCACAUGUGUAGUGAACCCCAUCAUUGCCCAGUGGUGGGUGCUGCCGAUGGUGCCUGCCCAGCCCUUGUGCAGCUCAGCCUGAACCCCCUUCUGUUUCUCUUGUGCCCCAGUAUUUAUUGCCCUUACACUCUCUCAAAAGGGAAAAGGUUAUUUUUUAUUAUUUGUUAUUCAUUUGGCACAGCUCUUUUGGUAAUUAGUACUACAAUUCAUAAUAUGUUUAAGAGACAGAACACACUACGUGCUUCUGAAUCUCAGCCCACUCCAUGUCAAAUGAAGACAACAGUACUCCCUUCCUCAAUCUGUUUGUGAAUGUAAUUGCUCCUGGUGCGUAGUAAGUACAGACCAAGUGUAUCUGCCCUUUACAGACUGCUAAAUGUGAUGUGUCUGGAAGCCAAACAGCAGCCCAAGUUCUGUUCUGCAAUCCCUGUAAAGCUCUGCAGUCUUCUUAACAGUCUGUGUGUGCUUGUAUCUCAUGUUUCUUCUGCCCCUGUGUCAAUAGGUCAGUUCAUUUGGAAAUGGGCUGCUGUGGCCUUGCCAAAAAGGUAUUCAUCCAUAUCUGACAAAAGCAAUGAUAUCAAGAGGCAGUUUUCCCUGGUGUUUUGUUGUACUUGUACCCAGCUAGUAAUAAACAGCAUCCUUGGGCACAGAUAGUUCAGCAAAAUAAAUGGGCUGACUAACUGUAUACGCAUUUUCUUCAAUUAGAUGACAAGUGAAAGUAGGCGAUAUAGCUGUCUAUAAAUUCUGGUUACAGACUUGGAGAAUGUAGUCACUGACUUUCUUAGUCUGUGUAUGCAAGGACAUCCUUUUUACUACUUUUCUUCCUGUCGUGCAAUUAUUAGCUAUAGCGAAGCACCAUAUGUGAGCUGCCACGUGUAAGGACUGCCACUGUAACCAUCUGAGAUCACCUUCUAAACAUUUCAGUCUGAGCCCAAAAUACCACCACAAUAACAGAAUUCUUGCCCCAAGUGGUUGCCAGCAGUCUCCAUCACUGCAGACCCACAGUACACUGUUCUUUUUAGUAUACCUACUUUAAACUUAGCCUCACAUUCGUUGUUGAGAUAUCAUGUGUUCAUAUUAGUCUAGACAGCCUGCAGUGACUUCUUAGUGACUUGAAGAGAAAAGGAAUCUGUCCUUUGACCAAAAGAGAAGUUAUAUAAAUACGUAUUGGUUGGCUUCCAGUACUUUGUGCUACCAAACCACGAAGACAGCAGAUGUAGAAUCUCGAUUACAAAUAAAAAUAAACAUAGAACAUGUGAGAUCCUGCAUUGUUUGGAUGGUUCCAGUUUUUGAUAGAUGUAUUUAAGAAAGCUAACAGUUAUAUUUGAGUUCUUAGCAAAGACCUGAGGCAAAAUUUAAAUGUCAUCAAUGUAGGCUAACUGAACUUCAGGCUUCACCCUAAAAGAGGCUUUCAAAAACCCAUCUCAUCUGGUUAACUGCUAAGCUGAGCUGGAGACUUAAGGCUGUGUCAGUAGUAUUUAAAUCAGCUUUGCAAAACCUUAAAGAAAAGUUACCGGCUCAGCUCCAAAACCUAUUCACAAGUGCCCUUUACCACGCUGAACGGGAGGGAAUUUAAGAAAUGAACGAUUUGUUCACAGAGCUGGAUAGCCUUUGGCAUCAUUCCCCUUUCCCUCGUCUUUCCAUGUAUGCUGCCCAUGUAGUUAAUCUCUUCCUGUGCUUGAAUUGCUCUGCAUUCCCCUGGCAUUUCCCUUCCUGGGCAUUAUUAAUUUCUGAGCCCAGGGAAAUCAGGACUGCAUCAAUGAAAGUGUGUGUAAUACAAAGGAGAAACAAACCCCGUGUGUUUACAUUUGCUUCACAAAACUUUCUAUUUAAAGUCUUUGUGCAUGUCCUCUGGGUAUUUUCUUUAGCUUGUCUCUUGUAUCACAUUGUACCUUUGGCAGUAGGUAUCCGGUGUCUUUGUUUUCUGAAUAGAAAAUAGGUCAUUAUUGGUAUUUUGGCUUCUGAUUGCUAGUUAAUGAAAUUUGUUCCAGCUUUAACAUCAUUGCAACAAGCUACAAAGAAUCAUUUGUCAUGAUUGCAUGGGCUAGGCUCAUUUCUGCUGUAGCUCACAGGCAGCGUGAUUAUCUAGGAGACUCGAAGAAUGCAGUAAAGAAUAAUGCAAAAAUGGGUAAAAGCCAAGGCUCAUCAGUCUUAGGUGCUGUGGUAUUACAUCUGCAUUGUACUCAAAGCAUUGCAGUUUGAACAUAUUAGCAUAUGAAGCUGCCUGAUUGCUUUCUGGGGUCUUGUGCUUUUGGAAAAGUAACUACAGAGUUCAAGGUACUUGGGUCAAACGAAGAAAUAGUUUUAUACCAGCUGGCACAGGCUGUGCUGUUAAGCAAGGUUGUAUUUGCAGAAUCUGGAGUAUAUUUCUCUUCCAUCAGCUGUCCUUCCCUGUGCUUUAAAGAGAAGGGUACUGUUCAUGUCACCUGUAAUCAGCUAUGCAAUAAAAGUCUCCAAGGAUGCAGCUCAAGAACUCAAAGUAAUCCUGCAACCUAUUCCCAGUAAUGUUAAAGUGACAAUAACAGAUGAAGUCAGACAUGUGCAACCCAUGCGGCCUGGCUCAGCCCAUCCUGUGGCCACCCCCUGCCCCACACCAUCAUGGCAUCCCAGGGCAGUGUGAGGGAAGUGCCCUUGGUUAGCUUUGAGAAGGCUCAGGGCAGUGUGAGGGAAGUGCCCUUGGUUAGCUUUGAGAAGGCUCAGGGAGGAUCUGAGCAUUGACUACAGCUGCCUACUGGGAGCAUGGAGGAUGAAACCCGACUUUUUCUGAUAGGUGCUCAGUGGUGGAAGGACAAGAGGUAUUAGGCUCACACUGAAGAAUGGACAACUCAAGCCAAAGGAAAAGCCUGCCACCAUGAGGGUGCUCAAACUCAUAAUACUUGACUGAAAUAUUUUAACAAACUAUUUUUACCUUUAGAAGUGAUAAUUCAUCUAACCUCCAUUGUGCUGUAUUAAAUACAUGCAAGUUUCGUCCUUAAGAGGUGACUCAGGUUUCCUGCCCCGCUGGUCUGAGAUAAACCUGUAACUGCUAAAUUGCAAAUCUUAUUUACUAAACCGAUGGUUUUACUUUCCUCUUGUCUGAAUUCUGCCCCAGUCGUGAUCGCAUCCAGCCUUGUUUCAAAUUGAAAGCCUCCAUUUAGUGAGCUUUCUCCUUGGCUACCCUUUCCCCCUGAGACACCUCAGUGUCCUCAGGCACUUUCUUGGUACUUCAGAUGUAACAUUCAGCCUCCUUCCUUUUUUUUCUCUUCCUGGUAAUAUUUUGUACCAGAAUUAUAUACAACACAUUUAGAUUUCUCAUGUCAUGUUUAACAAAUACGUUUGCUCAAAUUUUCUGGGGUAGAACUUACAGCAUGAGAAGAGCUUACAGAUUAUUUUUGCCUGAAAAAUAUUUGGAUCAAUUCUAGGAGAAGGUGAAGCUUGCGAUCCCUUUUUGCUGAUAGCUUUAGGAGGGCACAGGGUUGGUUUUCAGAGAACUACAGCUCCCAUGAUCUCCAAGAAGAACUGGAUCUGAGCAUUGACAGCGUUGCACUGUAAGAAAUCAGGAAGGUACACAAAGGUUUCCCUCUCUUCAGCAAGACAGGUAGAAUUUAUAAGUAAAUGGAGAGUGGUAAAUGCUAAUGGAAAGUCCGGGUGGAAAUCUGUGAUGACAGUGGGAGAAGACCAAAAUGCAGAGAGAGGUGGCUAAGGGGCUCUAAGGAAACGGUGGAUUUGUUAUGGAGAAAGGAUAUUAGCUAUGAGUUUUUAAAUGUUCAAGUAAGGAUGGCUAAGGAGAUAGAAGGAAGUAAGUUUUAAGGACAAAAUUUAGCUUCUAGUGAUGUGCAAAUGAAUGCUAUGGGAAAAGGAAGACUGAAAGAAUAAGAUGCUUGUUUCCUUGUGCAGUGAGUGGCAGUGGAUCCUUCAAAGCACACUGAGAUGAAAACUUCUGUUCACCCUGUAAAGGGUGAGGGAGGUGACAGGUGUUGGUUGGUUGUUAUGGCACUUUUAUUUGUUACAAGGACUUACCUGAAGAAUUUGUGACCCACCUGUCUGCGGUAGGGUGAGUUGGUAGGAUAAGAAACUCAGAUAUAGACUAGCUGAUAGCAAGUAGAGGCACUGUAACUUAGCCUUGUGUUUUCUCCACCUACAACUGUAAUCUCGUUUUUGAUCUCUCCCUUUUGAAACCGUAGGUGUUGCUGAUGAUCUAACUAGCACCUGACUCUCCAACCAUCUGUCUGGGGAGGACUGGGUAGGGAUGAGUGAGCUGUGCUCUGUGAUGGGGGUGUGGCUGUUUCACUGAUGGGUCCUGAUGGAGGGUUACUUAUAGUUCCCUUAAUUUUCCUUUCCUUUCACUCCUGAAAUACUCCCUGUAUCCAAUCAGUGGUAAAUGAACUUGAAAGGCACAGUCUGUCAAGAUGAUGUGCAGAGCAGAGAAGGGUAAACCCUGUAUCACCAAGAAGUCAAGAGAAGUCAAGAUGUACUUCCUGGAGCAGUUCUGCCUGGCUUUCUGUAUCUCUACAAUGCAAACAACGGUGCCACCAUGAUGCUGAUGGGACCUGUGCAAUGACCUUUAGGCCUUUCCACUCCGAUAAAAAAUCUUCCCAACUCCCAUUGUUCCAGCUGGCUCAGAGACAGAGGGGGCUGUCUUCAGAGACUUUUGGGAUGUGUUCAAAAACGCAUGUGCUUCAUAUGCAAGGAUGAUUCUGCCCCUUACCUAGGAGUGUUGGUGCAUGGUGGUGUUACAGCGUGACCUCUUCUUUCCUCCUGGAGUGGAGCACAGUGCUUACUUGUUUCCGAAUAAAAACUUUUUCUCUGAAAAUCUGCCUCCAGUAGUUUGAAGCACAGGAGUCUGCCAUUUCUCAGUG